GUGCUCCCUUUGGCAGCACAUAACUAAAAUUGAAACAAUGCAGAGAUGAGCAUGGCCUCUGCACAAGACUGACAUGCAAAUUCAUGAAAGCCCAACAGAAUCAU
ensembl:snRNA U6 U6 spliceosomal RNA